UAGGGAAUCUUCCGCAAUGGACGCAAGUCUGACGGAGCAACGCCGCGUGAGUGAAGAAGGAUUUCGGUUCGUAAAACUCUGUUGUUAGAGAAGAACAGCGCAUAGAGUAACUGUUAUGCGUGUGACGGUAUCUAACCAGAAAGCCACGGCUAACUACGUGCCAGCAGCCGCGGUAAUACGUAGGUGGCAAGCGUUGUCCGGAUUUAUUGGGCAUAAAGCGAGCGCAGGCGGUCAAUUAAGUCUGAUGUGAAAGCCCCCGGCUCAACCGGGGAGGGUCAUUGGAAACUGGUUGACUUGAGUGCAGAAGAGGAGAGUGGAAUUCCAUGUGUAGCGGUGAAAUGCGUAGAUAUCGGGAAGAACACCAAUGGCGAAGGCAGGUCUCUGGGCUGUUACUGACGCUGAGAAGCGAAAGCGUGGGGAGCGAACAGG
rnacentral:rRNA from 1 species